UUUCUUGUUUGGUAAGAAUUUUUAUCAUAAUGUGCUGGCCCCUGCAAUUUCUCGAAAUGUGAGUAACUCGACUGCAUAAUUUGUGGUAGUGGGAGACUGCGUUGGCACUUCCCUU
rnacentral:snRNA from 1 species